UGGGAUGUCUCCACACUCAUUCUUAACAAAG
rnacentral:piRNA from 1 species